AUAUAGUGCACUAGUCCCUCAAAUGGUAGUACCUGUAACUCCAUUUCUAAUGGUAAAAAUAGCUUCCCAAGGGACUCAUAUUCCUCAGGUGACGCCACGCUCAAGGGGCAAUCAUAGUAUCUGAGGAAUCAGUGCUCCUACGGUUAGUGUUCCUUAUGUAACAAUUACUACUUCUCCAAUCUUUCAAAUAGUAGUUAUAAUGACACAAUUCUCCAAGUCCAAUUCUAUCGCACCUUAUAGGAAGACGAUAGCAUAACACCAAGCAUAAAACACAUAAAGCCAAUCCACAACCUCUCUUAGGCCCACCCACGGCCCUAAAU
rnacentral:misc_RNA from 1 species